rfam:TPA: Bos taurus chromosome 9, whole genome shotgun sequence.
UCCCAGUAGCUCAAACAGUAAAGAAUCUGCCUGCAAUGCAGGAGACCCAGGUUCGAUCCCUGGGUUGGGAA